AGUGAACGCUGGCGGUAGGCCUAACACAUGCAAGUCGAACGGCAGCACAGUAAGAGCUUGCUCUUACGGGUGGCGAGUGGCGGACGUGUGAGGAAUACACCGGAAUCUACUUUUUCGUGGGGGAUAACGUAGGGAAACUUACGCUAAUACCGCAUACGACCUACGGGUGAAAGCAGGGGAUCUUCUGACCUUGCGCGAUUGAAUGAGCCGAUGUCGGAUUAGCUAGUUGGCGGGGUAAAGGCCCACCAAGGCGACGAUCCGUAGCUGGUCUGAGAGGAUGAUCAGCCACACUUGAGAUGAGACACGGUCCAAAAUACUACGGGAGGCAGCAGUGGGGAAUAUAGGACAAUGGGCGCAAGCCUGAUCCAGCCAUACCGCGUGGGUGAAGAAAGCCUUCGGGUUGUAAAGCCCUUUGUUGGGAAAGAAAAGCAGCAGGUUAAUACCCCGCUGUUCUGACGGUACCCAAAGAAUAAGCACCGGCUAACUUCGUG
rnacentral:rRNA from 1 species